rnacentral:rRNA from 1 species
GACGAACGCUGGCGGCGUGCUUAACACAUGCAAGUCGAACGGAAAGGCCCUGCUUUUGUGGGGUGCUCGAGUGGCGAACGGGUGAGUAACACGUGAGUAACCUGCCCUUGACUUUGGGAUAACUUCAGGAAACUGGGGCUAAUACCGGAUAGGAGCUCCUGCUGAAUGGUGGGGGUUGGAAAGUUUCGGCGGUUGGGGAUGGACUCGCGGCUUAUCAGCUUGUUGGUGGGGUAGUGGCUUACCAAGGCUUUGACGGGUAGCCGGCCUGGGAGGGUGACCGGCCACAUUGAGACUGAGAUACGACCCAGACUCCUACGGGAGGCAGGAGUGGGGAAUAUUGCACAGUAGGCGUGAGCCUGAUGCAGGAACGCCGCGUGCGGGAUGACUGGCUUCGGGUUGUAAACCGCUUUCGCCUGUGACGAAGCGUGAGUGACGGUAAUGGAUAAAGAAGCAACGGCUAACUACGUG